CUUCAGCGAGCCCAGCCACAGCGGGCUGUCCUGCUCGCGGUCCUGCCCGUAGGUGGCGAGCAGCGCUUCCGCCUC
rfam:Streptomyces sp. NRRL S-444 contig4.2, whole genome shotgun sequence.